UCCAGCAUCCCUGAUUAAGUGUAACUUUACAAUUAGAAGUGGCCAAACAUUCAAUAAAACAGAGGACAAGGUAUCUUUUUGAACUGGGGACAGUUGGUGGAAGAGGCAGAAAUCUAACAGGAAUAACUGAUCCCACUCCAUUGAGAAGAGUUCAUGGGGCAAGUCAGAAUCACAUUAAAUACUCCCUGGUAACACACUUGUGUUGCUGCUAAUGACAUGACCCAGGAUGGGGGUGAGCCACCAGAAAGACCAACACCACCCUUUGAGCUCCUGACCUCUGGGAGGAGAGAAGAGAGAAAAAUGUGUUGAAAAACACAACCGGUGAUUCAGUCAAUCAGCCUGUAUAAUCAAACCCCAAUAAACACUACGGACCCCAAGAACCAGAACACCAACAAAUCCUUCAAAAGGUAUCAAAAGCUGAUGAUCUUCACUUCCUACUGCAGUGGUUCUAGCCUUGUGGUCCAUGAACUGCUGGAGUCCCCAAGAUCUUAUCCAGGGAUCACAAGACAUUUACUAAAGGGGAAUUCCAGCAAAAGAAGUCUGUCACUUCAAGGGAAAUAAAAACAAUUUCAGAACUCAAACACUAUUUGACCUUUUAACUCCAUUGAUAUUUGCAGUGAUGGUUAAAUAAAAUUUUAAAAAUAUAAAAAAGGCAUGAUGGAUAAAAACUAUUGUGUCCCAGCACAUAUUAAGGCAACCAUGGUGGGAUGGCGCCAUCUUAGUCCUUUGCCAGUUUUUUGUUACUAUAACAAAAGAACUGGGAUUGAGUAAUUUAUAAAGAACAGGAAUUAAUUUUCUCACAGUUCUGAAGGCUAGG